UAUCUAAAGCGGAAUGUGUGCCUGAAC
rnacentral:sRNA from 1 species